rnacentral:rRNA from 12 species
CUGGCGGCGUGCUUAACACAUGCAAGUCGAACGGUAAGGCCCUUUGGGGUACACGAGUGGCGAACGGGUGAGUAACACGUGAGUAACCUGCCCUGGACUCUGGGAUAAGCAUUCGAAAGGGUGUCUAAUACUGGAUAUGACCUGUGACCGCAUGGUUGUGGGUGUAAAGGUUUUCUGGUCUGGGAUGGGCUCGCGGCCUAUCAGCUUGUUGGUGGGGUGAUGGCCUACCAAGGCGUCGACGGGUAGCCGGCCUGAGAGGGCGACCGGCCACACUGGGACUGAGACACGGCCCA